ACGCCGCGUGAGUGAUGAAGGUUUUCGGAUCGUAAAACUCUGUUGUUAGGGAAGAACAAGUACCGUUCGAAUAGGGCGGUACCUUGACGGUACCUAACCAGAAAGCCACGGCUAACUACGUGCCAGCAGCCGCGGUAAUACGUAGGUGGCAAGCGUUGUCCGGAAUUAUUGGGCGUAAAGCGCGCGCAGGCGGUUUCUUAAGUCUGAUGUGAAAGCCCCCGGCUCAACCGGGGAGGGUCAUUGGAAACUGGGGAACUUGAGUGCAGAAGAGGAGAGUGGAAUUCCACGUGUAGCGGUGAAAUGCGUAGAGAUGUGGAGGAACACCAGUGGCGAAGGCGACUCUCUGGUCUGUAACUGACGCUGAGGCGCGAAAGCGUGGGGAGCGAACAGGAUUAGAUACCCUGGUAGUCCACGCCGUAAACGAUGAGUGCUAAGUGUUAGAGGGUUUCCGCCCUUUAGUGCUGCAGCAAACGCAUUAAGCACUCCG
rnacentral:rRNA from 1 species